UUNGCUCAGAUNGAACGCUGNCGNCAUGCUUNACNCNUGCAAGUCGANCNGCAGCNCGGGUGCUUGCNCUGGUUGCGAGUGGCGAACGGGUGAGUAAUACAUCGGAACAUNUCCUGUAGUGGGGGAUAGCCCGGCGAAAGCCGGAUUAAUACCGCAUACGAUCUACGGAUGAAAGCGGGGGACCUUCGGGCCUCGCGCUAUAGGGUUGGCCGAUGGCUGAUUAGCUAGUUGGUGGGGUAAAGGCCUACCAAGGCGACGAUCAGUAGCUGGUCUGAGAGGACGACCAGCCACACUGGGACUGAGACACGGCCCAGACUCNUACGGGAGGCAGCAGUGGGGAAUUUUGGACAAUGGGCGAAAGCCUGAUCCAGCAAUGCCGCGUGUGUGAAGAAGGCCUUCGGGUUGUAAAGCACUUUUGUCCGGAAAGAAAUCCUUGGUCCUAAUAUGGCCGGGGGAUGACGGUACCGGAAGAAUAAGCACCGGCUAACUACGUGCCAGCAGCCGCGGUAAUACGUAGGGUGCAAGCGUUAAUCGGAAUUACUGGGCGUAAAGCGUGCGCAGGCGGUUUGCUAAGACCGAUGUGAAAUCCCCGGGCUCAACCUGGGAACUGCAUUGGUGACUGGCAGGCUAGAGUAUGGCAGAGGGGGGUAGAAUUCCACGUGUAGCAGUGAAAUGCGUAGAGAUGUGGAGGAAUACCGAUGGCGAAGGCAGCCCCCUGGGCCAAUACUGACGCUCAUGCACGAAAGCGUGGGGAGCAAACAGGAUUAGAUACCCUGGUAGUCCACGCCCUAAACGAUGUCAACUAGUUGUUGGGGAUUCAUUUCCUUAGUAACGUAGCUAACGCGUGAAGUUGACCGCCUGGGGAGUACGGUCGCAAGAUUAAAACUCAAAGGAAUUGACGGGGACCCGCACAAGCGGUGGAUGAUGUGGAUUAAUUCGAUGCAACGCGAAAAACCUUACCUACCCUUGACAUGGUCGGAAUCCUGCUGAGAGGCGGGAGUGCUCGAAAGAGAACCGGCG
rnacentral:rRNA from 1 species